rnacentral:lncRNA from 1 species
GAACAAAACCAGUGUACCCCAAAUGGCUAGGAUUGUCAGGUAAUAGUACUGAAGCAUGUUAACCAGAAACAUGUAAAGAUACCCUAAACAGUUCAAGAGUGUCCACGUAUGAUUCACUCUAGACUGUUGACCGGGUCUUGGCCCAUUCCUCACACACAACUUUUCGACAAACUUUAUUCAAGCCCUACAAUAAGCCUACUAGACGGUAAGCAAAGUCGACCAAGUCACCUUCACUGAGAUCAACCCAAAACCAGUCUUUAUCUCUCGAGUAUCAAGUCCAUGCGUGUCUGCCUUGAAGGAACAACAUCGUUCCACUGAACCAGAUGGCCCCGAGGCCACCUUGAACUUCAAAACCAGAGUGGAACCAUCCACUACAGCAACCACAGACCUCUUUAAAUGACGUGACUCGCCAAUUGUACCAUUGAACAGCCGAAUUCCUUCGUUAUAAUCACCGAUA